UGAGGAAUAUUGGUCAAUGGGCGUAAGCCUGAACCAGCCAAGUCGCGUGAGGGAUGAAGGUUCUAUGGAUCGUAAACCUCUUUUAUAAGGGAAUAAAGUGUGGGACGUGUCCUAUUUUGUAUGUACCUUAUGAAUAAGGAUCGGCUAACUCCGUGCCAGCAGCCGCGGUAAUACGGAGGAUCCGAGCGUUAUCCGGAUUUAUUGGGUUUAAAGGGUGCGUAGGCGGCCUUUUAAGUCAGCGGUGAAAGUCUGUGGCUCAACCAUAGAAUUGCCGUUGAAACUGGGGGGCUUGAGUAUGUUUGAGGCAGGCGGAAUGCGUGGUGUAGCGGUGAAAUGCUUAGAUAUCACGCAGAACCCCGAUUGCGAAGGCAGCCUGCCAAGCCAUGACUGACGCUGAUGCACGAAAGCGUGGGGAUCAAACA
rnacentral:rRNA from 1 species